GUGCCAGCAGCCGCGGUAAGACGAACCGUCCAAACGUUAUUCGGAAUCACUGGGCUUAAAGGGUGCGUAGGCUGCCCGGUAAGUUGGGUGUGAAAGCCCUCGGCUUAACCGAGGAAUUGCGCCCAAAACUGUCGGGCUCGAGGAAGAUAGAGGUGAGCGGAACUAAGGGUGGAGCGGUGAAAUGCGUUGAUAUCCUUAGGAACACCAGUAGCGAAAGCGGCUCACUGGGUCUUCUCUGACGCUGAGGCACGAAAGCUAGGGGAGCGAACGGGAUUAGAAACCCCGGUAGUCC
rnacentral:rRNA from 1 species